UUUAUCUUAGUGUAAUUGCACGUAAAAUUUUGAUUUUUAAAGUAACUUAGUUAGAUAAAU
rnacentral:tRNA from 1 species